UACGUAGGUGGCAAGCGUUAUCCGGAUUUAUUGGGUGUAAAGGGAGCGUAGACGGCAGAGCAAGUCUGAAGUGAAAGCCCGCGGCCCAACUGCGGGACUGCUUUGGAAACUGCCCGGCUAGAGUGCUGGAGAGGUAAGCGGAAUUCCUAGUGUAGCGGUGAAAUGCGUAGAUAUUAGGAGGAACACCAGUGGCGAAGGCGGCUUACUGGACAGUAACUGACGUUGAGGCUCGAAAGCGUGGGGAGCAAACAGG
rnacentral:rRNA from 1 species